UGGGGGAUAUUGGACAAUGGGGGGAACCCUGAUCCAGCGACGCCGCGUGAGUGAAGAAGUAUUUCGGUAUGUAAAGCUCUGUCAGCAGGGAAGAAAGAAAUGACGGUACCUGACCAAGAAGCCCCGGCUAACUACGUGCCAGCAGCCGCGGUAAUACGUAGGGGGCAAGCGUUAUCCGGAAUUACUGGGUGUAAAGGGAGCGUAGACGGUUAAGUAAGUCUGGAGUGAAAGGCCGGGGCCCAACCCCGGGACUGCUCUGGAAACUAUUUAACUUGAGUGCAGGAGAGGUAAGCGGAAUUCCUA
rnacentral:rRNA from 1 species